AUACGGAGGGUGCAAGCGUUACUCGGAAUCACUGGGCGUAAAGCGCGCGCAGGCGGUCUUUUAAGUUGGAUGUGAAAGCCUACGGCUUAACCGUAGAACUGCAUCCAAAACUAUUAGACUAGAGUGUGGGAGAGGAAGAUGGAAUUAGUUGUGUAGGGGUAAAAUCCGUAGAGAUAACUAGGAAUACCAAAAGCGAAGGCAAUCUUCUGGAACACUACUGACGCUGAGGCGCGAAAGCGUGGGGAGCAAACAGGAUUAGAUACCCUAGUAGUCC
rnacentral:rRNA from 1 species